CCUACGGGCGACAGCAGUAGGGAAUCUUCCACAAUGGACGAAAGUCUGAUGGAGCAACGCCGCGUGAGUGAAGAAGGGUUUCGGCUCGUAAAGCUCUGUUGGUAGUGAAGAAAGAUAGAGGUAGUAACUGGCCUUUAUUUGACGGUAAUUACUUAGAAAGUCACGGCUAACUACGUGCCAGCAGCCGCGGUAAUACGUAGGUUGCAAGCGUUGUCCGGAUUUAUUGGGCGUAAAGCGAGUGCAGGCGGUUCAAUAAGUCUGAUGUGAAAGCCUUCGGCUCAACCGGAGGAUUGCAUCAGAAACUGUUUGACUUGAGUGCAGAAGAGGAGAGUGGAACUCCAUGUGUAGCGGUGGAAUGCGUAGAUAUAUGGAAGAACCCCAGUGGCGAAGGCGGCUCUCUGGUCUGCAACUGACGCUGAGGCUCGAAAGCAUGGGUAGCGAACAGGAUUAGAUACCACUGUAGUC
rnacentral:rRNA from 1 species